UACGUAGGGUGCGAGCGUUGUCCGGAAUUACUGGGCGUAAAGAGCUCGUAGGUGGUUUGUCGCGUUGUUCGUGAAAACUCACAGCUUAACUGUGGGCGUGCGGGCGAUACGGGCAGACUGGAGUACUGCAGGGGAGACUGGAAUUCCUGGUGUAGCGGUGGAAUGCGCAGAUAUCAGGAGGAACACCGGUGGCGAAGGCGGUUCUCUGGGCCUGUACUGACGCUGAGGAGCGAAAGCAUGGGGAGCGAACAGG
rnacentral:rRNA from 1 species